rnacentral:rRNA from 1 species
UACGAAGGGUGCUAGCGUUGUUCGGAAUCACUGGGCGUAAAGCGCGCGUAGGCGGCUUUUCAAGUCAGGGGUGAAAUCCCACGGCUCAACCGUGGAGUUGCCUUUGAAACUGGGAAGCUGGAGUAUUGGAGGGGAUAGCGGAAUUGCUAAUGUAGAGGUGAAAUUCGUAGAUAUUAGCAGGAACACCGGUGGCGAAGGCGGCUAUCUGGACAAUUACUGACGCUGAAGUGCGAAAGCGCGGGGAUCAAACAGG